GCGCCGGUAGCUCAGGGGACAGAGCAGCGGCCUUCUAAGCCGACGGUCGGGGGUUCGAAUCCCUCCCGGCGCG
rnacentral:tRNA from 1 species